GACGUAGGGCGCGAGCGUUGUCCGGAUUUAUUGGGCGUAAAGAGCUCGUAGGCGGCUUGUCGCGUCGACUGUGAAAACCCGCGGCUCAACUGCGGGCCUGCAGCCGAUACGGGCAGGCUAGAGUUCGGUAGGGGAGACUGGAAUUCCCGGUGUAGCGGUGAAAUGCGCAGAUAUCGGGAAGAACACCCGUGGCGAAGGCGGUUCUCUGGGACGGUACUGACGCUGAGACGCGAAAGCGUGGGGAGCGAACAGG
rnacentral:rRNA from 1 species